GCCCCGACCAAUAUACUAUGUCAUGGCAUGUAUUGGUAUUGAUUCUGGGUCCUGUUGUAUUCAUGCAUAUUGGCCUGAUUUUCAUAUCACGUGAUUAUCAAGUGUGGCCUACCUUUUAUACGGAUAGGAUAUUCUCUCUAUGUGACACUUUGGGGGUAUCUUAUCAUUUCUCCGUAUCCCUGGUUUGCACAACUAGUUGACUCAGUCCAUGUCAUUUUGGAUCUCCGAGUUAACUCGUCCGAGUCACGGGUCAACUCCAACAAUGCUUACAAACACCCCAGCAUGAUAGAGCUCAGAUGUGCAGAUGUAGUCUUUACUCAGUGAAGGAGAGAGGGAGAGAGAGAAGUAUCAGUUAUCUACUGUUAGAGAGAGAGAGAGAGAGAGAGAGAGAGAGAGAGAGAGAGAGAGAGAGAGAUGCAAGCGAUGCAAGCAAUGGCUGCAGAAAACAUCCUAAAAUCUCGAGAAAUCUCAACAAUGCUAAAGCAAGGUUUCAUCUCCGACCCAUCAUUCUCCCUUUCCCCUUCCAGGAUUCCCACCAGGCCUUCUCCUCCUCCUUCCUUCUCUUCAUCCACCGACAAGCUUCGAUCUAGCCCCACCCUCUUCGAAAUGAUGUCCGCCGAGCACCAGCUUCACCAGCACGCCGACUCCGACCGCCGUAGGCUGCAGGAAAGAGUCUCUAAGAUCUUGGCCGACGCCCCCUUCCAAGACCCGAGCUGGGGCGGCGGUGUUGGAGACGUGAAGCUGACCGUCAGCUCCAAAGACGGAGGUUUCAAGACAUCCAUGAACGUGCAUCGGAAGGUCUUGGCAGGCCGCAGCCGAUUCUUUGCGGACAAGCUGGGGCGGCGGGAUGCUGCUCAUUCAGUGGAGAUAUGCGAGUGUGAUGACGUGGAGGUGUAUGUGGAGGCUGUGGUGUUGAUGUAUCGUGAGGAGGAGGAUUUGAAGAGGAGGUUGGCAAAGGAGGAGGUUGCUAAAGUGCUUGGGCUGCUCAAGGUGGUUGUAGCUAUCAUGUUUGAUGUGGGAAUUAAGGCAUGCCUGGAGUAUUUGGAAGCCGCUCCAUGGACAGAGGAUGAAGAGGAGAAAGUCAUAUCAGUCCUUGGUCAACUUCAGCUGCAUGAUCCAGUCAUAGAGAUUUUGCAGAGAGUUUCAGUGGAACCAUCUACUUCUGCGGGAGCCGAUGGCAUUUUCUUGCACCUCCUGAUGGGUGUUCUACAGGCCAAGGAUGAGAAAGCUCGGCGAGAAAUGAAAGUUCUGAUAUCAGGAUUGCUCAGAGAAGACUCAACCCAUCAUAGAGGCAACAAUAAUAAACUCGGUGUCUCUAGAGAUACCCUUUAUCAUGUCUGCAACAAAUGCCUCAGUUCUCUUUUACUGUGUUUAUCUGAGGUGGCGGGUGUGGAUGAAAGCAAGCGUGGUCAGGGGAUGUUAAUGGGCGAGAUAGCUCGUGAAGCCGACAAUAUGCAAUGGGUUGUCGAGAUUCUGAUUGACAAAAAGAUGGGCGAUGAGUUUGUGAAACUGUGGGCGGAUCAGACUGAGCUAGCUAGUCUUCAUUCAAAGAUUCCCGCGAUGUAUCGGUACGAAAUCAGCAGGAUCACUGCUCAGCUCUGCAUCGCAGUCGGAAAAGGUCAGAUCAUGGUAUCAAAAGAUACGAGGUUUUCUUUGUUGUGCACAUGGUUGGAACCUCUGUAUGAUGACUUUGGAUGGAUGAAGAGGGCUUGUAAAUCCGUUGAUAAGAAAAUGGUGGAGGAUGGACUAAGCCAGACGAUUCUUACACUGCCAUUGGCGCAACAACAAGCCAUCUUAUUGAAUUGGUUCAACCGUUUUCUGAACAAAGGAGAUGAUUGUCCCAACAUCCAACGAGCAUUUGAGGUCUGGUGGAGAAGAGCUUUCGUCCGGCGGUAUUCAGCAGACCAGGAUCAUUCUCAUCAAUUGCAGAUUGCUGUCUGUGAUUAUCCUACCUGAAGCUGACCAGUGGGGAAUGUAUGAAGUGGACCUGAACAGGAAGGGUCCAACAUUGAAGAAGUUAGCCAAGAAAAUUCUCGGCCUCACAUGUUCUGCAAGCGGUUGUGAGUGCAAUUGGAGUACAUUCGAGGCGAUGGUAAGUUGCUUGUAAAGAUAUAUAGGACCCGGGCUUUGCAGGCAUGGACCUAACAUGGGCCCAAGUAGAAGAUGUUGCAUUUGGAUCGGUACAUGGAGAAAGUUUAGGUCAAAAACUGAAAAGACAAGGCCUAGUAGCAGUCAAGGCCAAGAAGAAGAUGAGAUAAAGAAGAUUCAAGAAGAAGAUGAUCAACCACUAGAUAUGGAUGGAAACCGAUGGCGAAGAAACAGAAGAAGUGGAAGUAUAAGUCGAAAAAGGAAAUGACGACGACAAUGAUGAUGCCAAUGAUGAUGGAGAUGUGCCACAAUUGAUUAGGGAUCAAUAUACAUCGCUCAUUUUGAAUUUGUUUGUAGUUUCACUAGUUUGUACAAUGUAUUUCUACAUCAAGUCAUCAAUAAAAUUUCUAUGUUGUUUUUUUUCUACAAUUUUGAGUAUAUGUAUCAUUGUUUUUAUUACUUUGUUAUAGUCUAAUAGUCUAAUAAAUGUAAUAUAAUAAAUAUAACAAAAUAUGAAAAUAGAAAUGAAAUAUGUACACAAAAUUCCAAUUACUACAGUAAUUUUAUACAUUUUUUGAUAAUUUUUUUUUUUCAUUUUUUUUUCUAUUUUCCGUUAUUUUUUAGAAUUUUUCUGAUUUAAAAAUAUUAGGGGGAUGUGCUACUACAUAUGUGAUUAUCCAAUCACGUAUGUGCAUAGCCACCCGAGAUCACUCAGGACAACUUAUGCAAUUGGACAACAUUGAGUGUAUUGGACUAUUCUUUAGUAAGAGUGUUGUAUAUCAAAUUGACCUACUGUUAAGUUGUGGUGUCUUCUAGGUAUAAAUUGUUGGUAUAUAUUAUCUAAAAAAUUUUGAUAUGAUGUAUUAUUAAUAAGAUUAUCUAUCAACUAUUGAAUAAGGUGUUCCAAAACAGUAACGGUGGCCAUAACAGCCACCACUGUUACCGUUAUGAUAUGAGCCAUAACAGCCAUUACAGUCCCCGUAUCAGCCGUUAUGGCCCUUUUUUGUUUUUUGAAAAAACCGUUACAGGGCUGUUAAGACCUGUUUUUCUGUGACGGCCGUUUCGACCCCGUAACACAACGAUUAUGACCGUUAUCGUUACGUAACGGCUAUGACGUAACCGAUUUUGCAUACCUUGCUAUUGAACUAUCUAAUGAUUCAAAAUGAGGACAUUCAACUAAACAUAUGAACUCACAAAACAACUAGGGUUGAAUAAAACUAAAAAUAAAUACAAUGCAUCCAACUUUAAUGAAAAAAUAAAAAUAAAAAGUAAAAAAAUUUACAAAAAAAUGAUUAAUAAUAAUAAAAAAAAGCGGUGAAAAUGAAUGUAUUCAUCUACCAUUUCAUCCAUAUUUCCAUUUCCCCAAAUUGAUUUUUUUUUUUAAAGAAUAUAAAAAAUUAUGAAAAUGGUUGAAAAUAAAGGAAAGCUACAUUGUGUAAACUAAAUUUUGUACUUAGUGUAUGCAUUGGGUGUGCGAGUUUGCAUAGUGUUGUGUGCUCUCUUAUAGCAUGUAUAUCUGUUUCUAGUCAUAUAAUAAAGGUGUGCUAGGGCUUGUGGCCCUAACACAAUGAAAUUCUCUCUCUCUCUCUCUCUCUCUCUCAAUACUUCUCUUUCCUUCAUCUCUUUUCUUUACUUCUCAUCUAAAAUCCCCUAAAACCAACUUGGUAUCAGAGUGGGAUAGUUCACGUUGAUCACUGCUACGAGCUCUUGUUGAAUUCAACAACCAUAUGGCUGGCAUCAACAACUAUACACUUGUACAGACAGAUUUCGAUUGGGAAAGGGGAAGCAGAACGUCAGACUUACAUGUACAAUUCAGCACCCUUGGGCUUGCGUUGGAUGAUCACCUCAAUCUUCUCUAGCACCUGAGGCAUCAGCAAAGGAAUGACAUCAUUGGCCUUCGUGUUCUCCUGAACCUGGUUCUCGUUUGUAGCACCAGUAAUGACUAAUGAGACAUCUGGAUUUGAUGUACACCAAGCAAUUGCAAGUUGAGAUAAAGGCAUUAUGAGCUCAUCCACAGUGGGUGGAAGUCUUUUAACUUUUUUCCGUACUUCAUCCACCGGUGAUCUGCUUGCAAGAUUCUUGUAGUUGGGAGUGUUGAUGGUGGAAAUAUCAAGUCUAAGUUGUUCAAUAUUUAUGUGAUGGAUUGAAGAGUUGUGACUGAGAAUUUGAUUUGAAGAGAUGGAAAAAGAGGAACUGUUUCACUCUCCUCUACUUCUACCUUUUUUUCACCACCCAUCCCUUUUCACUUCUCAAUUCUUCCCCGCCAGAUCUUCCCUGUCUUCAAAGGCCAUCAAGUGACAGAGUCCCAACACCCAAGGUAACAUUACCUAACACUUAAUACACUUCAUACUCAAGGGUGGUGAUGCAUCGGAUGACUUGCCCUAGUCUUCAGUUCAGUACCCAUUUUGGCACACUAACGAAGAAUUUAGUAUGUUGUGUUUUCAGUCAAUUGGCUCUAUCUUGGUAUCGAUUCCCUUGUGGGGGUGGCUAACAGUGAUGUGUGAACUGACAGUGGGUGUACUAACAGGCUAACAAAAAAAAAAAGUCAAUUGGCUCUAGCAGCAUGCUUAGGAUGAAACCCACGGAAGGCCUGCAAUCUAGUCUCCUU